GGGCUGGAAGCUGAAACGCGGAUGCAGCGCCGGACUGAAAAUCCGGAGGAUGUCAGUUCGACUCUGACCCAGCCCACCA
rnacentral:tRNA from 1 species